rnacentral:lncRNA from 1 species
CGACUCUCCUCCCCUCCGAACUUGUAGUGUUUCUAUUUUGGGUUCCAAAUGUUCUACUAUACAGGAUGUCAUGAUAAUAACAAAGAGCUGACAAUUGGGCUAAACUCCCAGAAAUCUUUGCUGUGCCCAUAAAGCAAUGCUGAGACUUUAUUUAGAAAGUUAUGUGAGCCGGGUCACUUGCUGCUUGGCAGAAGCUUAUUGUAGUCUAGGGAUUUGCAGCAAAUACAGAAACUUCAGAUGUAAGUAUCUUUUAAAUUAUAUUAUACUUACUAUUGUUUUCGUAUAUUUUGAAUGCAUUCACUUUAUUAUGCUCUAAAUACGAAAGGCUCAACUCCAAACUGAAGUGUCCCUUUAAUGUUUACUUAGGUAUAAUUAAUUCUAAAUUAACUAAAGCAGAACAAUUGAAAUUUUGAUUUGGUGCACAUGGAGUACAAAUGUGAUAAAGUGCUUAUGGACAGAAAGAUGUGUGAUACCCUGCAGGUAUAGCACCUGUAUCCUAAUAUCUAUUGCAUAUUAGGAUAUGUAUACAUUUUAUAUUAUACACAUGUUAUUGCCCUUAACAAGUAUUUUAAAUACAAAAAUCAACUAUGUAUAUAUACCGUUUUUUUGGAAAAAAGGGGAGUAAAGAAAAAUAUUAGGUAGAAAAGGUUAUGGUGCAUUCUUAUAAUGUCUACCGAGAUUAAGCUAAUUGCCCAUAUUCCUGACUCUUCCAGUGUUUGUGAUCCAAUCACAGACUCAACCAAGAAAAGUGUUGGAGUAUUCCAUUUGCCCAACUCUCUAUCCAACCCUGACAUAGACUAUAUCUAUUUACCAAGUUUAAACAUAAAUUAAAAUUUAUAUUCGCACUUAUCAUUACACUGCUCCAAAUAUACUUUGUGGAAUAAUAUAUAAUUGGGUUUUCCAAAUGUGGUUUACUAUUCAAUAAACAAUAUGAUAGUGAUAUGUUGGCUAUAACUAAUGUGUCUCACAGCUUAGUAGGUACAUAUUUACGGUCUUCAUCUCUUGUUGAAAACAACUGUAAAGAUUCUUGCGGUUUAGUAUUUAAGCCUAUUUCCAAAAACCAGUAAGGAAUAUAUAUCAGUUCUAAAUGCAUUAAACUAGUGUGUGGUAAUCAAUUAAAACAUCUAAUUUAUCAAUAUGAUGUUGGGAACCAAAAGAGAGCUAUUAAAAUUGUACAAACUUCUCAAACCCCCUUCCGCUAACAUUUUAAAUAUAUAAUCUAAUGAAAAACAUUAGCACCAAUAACAAUUAUUUUCAUGUAAUUUCACAACACCAAUAGAACAAACUGCUGGCAUGUAUCAAUAUAUAGUAUAUAGGUUAACUAAAUAAUAACCUCACCUAAGUAUGGACACUUACUUUAGGCAUUAGUUGAUGCACCCCUGAAUACUGACACUUGUAUUCCUUUACUAUAUAUAUAUAUAUCUCCGAAGAAAAGCACACAUGAAAAUUACGCACAGAAAAAAAUCCACUGACAUAAAUGCGCGCAAGAAAACUGCCUACGAGGAAAAUUGCCCAUGCAGAAAAAUACCCAGACAGAAUAAUAUGCACAUAUAGUAAUUUUCAAGUAAAGGUAAUGAUGUAUGCGCAAUUUAAAGUACCAUAGA